rnacentral:rRNA from 1 species
UACAGAGGGUGCAAGCGUUGUUCGGAAUUAUUGGGCGUAAAGCGCGUGUAGGCGGCUUUGCAAGUCGGGUGUGAAAGCCCUCAGCUCAACUGAGGAAGUGCGCCCGAAACUGCAGAGCUUGAGUACCGGAGAGGAUGGUGGAAUUCCCCAAGUAGAGGUGAAAUUCGUAGAUAUGGGGAGGAACACCGGUGGCGAAGGCGACCAUCUGGACGGAUACUGACGCUGAGACGCGAAAAGCGUGGGUAGCAAGAGG